rnacentral:sRNA from 18 species
AUGCACCACGCGUACACCCCAGUUCCUGCGCGCCUUCCACGCCCACCUGACGACUGCUCACUAUGUUGUGUUAACC